GGAAAGGUGGCUAUACCGGAUGUGCCGAAAGGUGAAGGCUUGCUGCCUGAAGAUGAGCUCGCGUCUGAUUAGCUAGUUGGUGUGGUAAGAGCGCACCAAGGCGACGAUCAGUAGCUGGUCUGAGAGGAUGAUCAGCCACACUGGGACUGAGACACGGCCCAGACUCCUACGGGAGGCAGCAGUGGGGAAUUUUCCGCAAUGGGCGAAAGCCUGACGGAGCAAUACCGCGUGAGGGAGGAAGGCUCUUGGGUUGUAAACCUCUUUUCUCAAGGAAUAAGUUCUGAAGGUACUUGAGGAAUAAGCAUCGGCUAACUCCGUGCCAGCAGCCGCGGUAAUCGGAGGGAUGCAAGCGUUUCCGGAUAUUUUGCGCAAAAGGCCUCCCGCGGGGGGUUGUGUACGUCUGUUGAAAAGGACUCUACUCUCACCUAGAUAAGAGCGGUGGAAACUACUUAGCUAGAGUACCUUCGGUAAAGGGAAUCCCUGGGAA
rnacentral:rRNA from 1 species